rnacentral:snoRNA from 1 species
CUGCAAGGCUCGGUGUGCUUAGUUCUGAAGUGGCCUGGUGUGUCCUUGCGGGGCUUGCAAAACCAUUCUCACAAGAUCUGAGACUGCUCUGUACAACCUACAGAGGAUAGCCAUAGAAGUUUCAGACAAAU